AAAUUGAAGAGUUUGAUCAUGGCUCAGAUUGAACGCUGGCGGCAGGCCUAACACAUGCAAGUCGAACGGUAAUAGGAAGCAGCU
rnacentral:rRNA from 1 species